UACGUAGGGGGCAAGCGUUGUUCGGAAUUACUGGGCGUAAAGGGCGCGUAGGCGGCCUGCUAAGUCGAACGUGAAAUCCCCGGGCUCAACCCGGGAACUGCGUCCGAUACUGGUUGGCUUGAAUCCGGGAGAGGGAUGUGGAAUUCCAGGUGUAGCGGUGAAAUGCGCAGAUAUCAGGAGGAACACCGGUGGCGAAGGCGGGUCUCUGGGCCGAUACUGACGCUGAGGAGCGAAAGCGUGGGGAGCGAACAGG
rnacentral:rRNA from 1 species